rnacentral:rRNA from 1 species
AUACGUAGGUGGCAAGCGUUGUCCGGAAUUACUGGGCGUAAAGCGCGCGCAGGCGGUCCUUUAAGUCUGAUGUGAAAGCCCACGGCUCAACCGUGGAGGGUCAUUGGAAACUGGGGGACUUGAGUGCAGAAGAGGAAAGUGGAAUUCCAAGUGUAGCGGUGAAAUGCGUAGAGAUUUGGAGGAACACCAGUGGCGAAGGCGACUUUCUGGUCUGUAACUGACGCUGAGGCGCGAAAGCGUGGGGAGCAAACAGGAUUAGAUACCCUGGUAGUCCACGCCGUAAACGAUGAGUGCUAAGUGUUAGGGGGUUUCCGCCCCUUAGUGCUGCAGCUAACGCAUUAAGCACUCCGCCUGGGGAGUACGGUCGCAAGACUGAAACUCAAAUGAAUUGACGGGG